rnacentral:lncRNA from 1 species
UUACAGUCCUGUUAUUAUCCCCUCCAGAUCUGACCCCUGAUUGCUCCUCAUCCUGUUCCUCCUCCCCCAUGUCUCCAAGAAGAUGAUUAAUUUUAAAGGAAAGAAAAUUAGAACAUUGUGAAUAAGAGAAAAUCAUGAGCCGGGGGAUUUCAUGGAGCCAUCCCAUUUUAUCUAAGAGUUCCAAGGACUCUCACUUUUGGAGCAUUGCCUGGCUGUGGGUGUUAUGUUCCCAUUUGCUGCAAGAGCUCCUGUGAUGGUAACCGACAAAGAGGUUCAUGUACCCAAACUGCAUUUUGUAUGUUUAUGUUGCCCACUGAUAUUCCUUCUUUGGAUAUAUGCCCAAAUAAAGCCAAUUCAGGAGAACAGGGCUUAUUGCAAUUUAUAAUUGUGAAGCAAUUAACAUACCAGGAGUAUGAAGCACCUGGUCCCAUGUCUCCAUGAUCAGAAACAAAACACUGAACACAUGUUCCUGCUCGAUUCCCUUUCUCGAUUUUCACAGUCAAUAAUCUGAGCCAUGAAGAGGCACGGAAUAUAGUAGUGAGCCUCCCCCACCUCAAUCAAGCAAAACAAUAUAAUUCUUCAUAGGCAAGUUAAAAAUCUCAUCUCCAGGGUGAUUCUAGAUUCUGUCAUUUGGCAAAAGCAUACUAACAAUAGCAUCUACUUUGGUAUUUUGCCUAUCUAUUGAAUUAAAAUUGUAAAAUUUCACUGAUCAUUGACUUUAUGAUGAUGAUUUCUCUAUUAUUAAAGCUGAUACAUGCAAAGUCAUACUCUACCAAUAUUUCUGUCAUUGUGUAGUUCCACCCAGAUGACCAUCCAUCGAUUCUGAGAGAGCUGGCUGGUUGACUUGUUGCUAAAAUAUUCAGACAUCCUUUAGCCUGGGUUAAUAUGUGAAUAAAUAUAAUAUGAGUUUACAAAGAACAACGUUUUUAUUUUCCCCUCCACACAAUUUAAAAUUUAUGUCUGUUUGAGGAGGAGAUAGAGAGAUCAGUAGCUAGCUCAUUAUUCUGGAUGUUUAAAAAGUCUGAUCUCUUCUCCAACAGAGAUAUCAACAUGACUCAGACACAGUUUGGUGGACUUUUUCAGACUCCAGACAUCUGCCAGU